AAUCCAAGCAUCUGGGCUCAACAACCUUAGGUCCUUAACACCUCUCUCUCUCUCCUCUGUCUUCAAUUUCUCUCUCUAUAAGUUGAAGAAAUAUAAGAUACCGUAUCCUUCUGAUUCCACUACGUAUGAUUUAAGCAUUGCAAGCCAGAGGCUUCCCAUCAUAAUGCAUAAGACCCAGAAGCUUAAAGUCCUUCAUAACAUGUAAGGCUGUCCUUGACACAUUACUAUAUCAAAGGACAAAACUGUACUUAAAUUUCAUGCAAAAGGCAUAAAUGUUCCUAUGUUGUGGUCAAA